rnacentral:rRNA from 1 species
GACAGAGGUGCCGAGCGUUAGGCGGAAUCACUGGGCUUAAAGCGUGUGUAGGCGGAUCUGUAAGUACCUUGUGAAAUCCCACGGCUCAACCGUGGAACUGCUUGGUAUACUGCGGGUCUUGAGCCACCUAGGGGCAAGUGGAACAAACGGUGGAGCGGUGAAAUGCGUAGAUAUCGGAAGGAACACCUGUGGCGAAAGCGGCUCACUGGACCAUAACUGACGCUGAGGCACGAAAGCUAGGGGAGCAAACAGG